UUUGCGGUUACCAAUGUCUACGAUCCUUGCGAUCACGCAACAGAGCCGGGUUUUCUGCAAUCACUCGUUGACCUCAAGCUUCAGAUCUCCUGCCCUUGGGUGAUCAUAGGCGACUUCAACAUCCCGCUUAGACCUUCCAACAAGUCUUCCCCUAACUUUAACAUGCUAGAAGCAAACCUUUUCUCCUCCACCAUCCAUUCCCUGUAGAUGCAAGACCUCCCUCUGCUAAAUAGGUGAUACACUUGGUCAAACCAA
rnacentral:rRNA from 1 species